GAUGAACGCUGGCGGCGUGCCUAAUACAUGCCAGUCGAGCGAACAGACGAGGAGCUUGCUCCUCUGACGUUAGCGGCGGACGGGUGAGUAACACGUGGAUAACCUACCUAUAAGACUGGGAUAACUUCGGGAAACCGGAGCUAAUACCGGAUAAUAUAUUGAACCGCAUGGUUCAAUAGUGAAAGACGGUUUUGCUGUCACUUAUAGAUGGAUCCGCGCCGCAUUAGCUAGUUGGUAAGGUAACGGCUUACCAAGGCGACGAUGCGUAGCCGACCUGAGAGGGUGAUCGGCCACACUGGAACUGAGACACGGACCAGACUCCUACGGGAGGCAGCAGUAGGGAAUCUUCCGCAAUGGGCGAAAGCCUGACGGAGCAACGCCGCGUGAGUGAUGAAGGUCUUCGGAUCGUAAAACUCUGUUAUUAGGGAAGAACAAAUGUGUAAGUAACUAUGCACGUCUUGACGGUACCUAAUCAGAAAGCCACGGCUAACUACGUG
rnacentral:rRNA from 1 species